AGACAUAGAAAAGGUUUCAAUCUUUUUCAUUCCAUUGUUUUAGUGCCAUGUGGAGUUAGAACAAUAGUAUGAAACCAAAUAGAUAAAUUCAAAUUUUUACUUAGUGAUAUAAGGGAACAUUCCAUUGCCUACAAGAUAGAUUCCAAAUAAAUGAAUCUUCUCAGAAGCUUUCAUCCAGCACCAAGCAUGGACUUCUUUAUUUAUAAAUGUGCGGCAAGCUUGAAUUCAAAGUGAGAUGUUAAUUUGCUGAGUUUAAAUUGAGAUGCAAAAAACUCUUGUUGUUUUUGUUCAAUGUUUCUUGCUCUUCUUUGAUGUUUUUCAUAUUGAGGGUCAUAGUGUUGGAGCAAUCUUGAAUUAUGGUUCUAGUUUCGGAAGGGAAGAGGAAGUGGCAAUGGAGAUGGCCAUUGGAGAUAUCAACAACCUCACAAAUCAAGCAUUGGUUCUACAUACAAUGGACUCCAAUGGAGAUCCUUUUCUAGCUGUAUCUGCAGCAAUGACUUUGAUCAAUGAACAUCAUGCUAAAGCACUCAUAGGGCUAGCAACAUGGCAAGAAGCAUCAUUUGUUGUAGAGCUUGGAAGAAGAGCACAAGUACCAGUUCUUUCAUUGACUAGAACCUACCCUCCUGCCGCAACACGGGGGUGUCCUUUCUUAGUCCCUCUCGCUCACAGCCAAGUCCUUCAAAUGAAAGCAAUCGCAGCGAUUAUUCGAUCAUGAUCCUGGAAGAAAAUGUCCUUAAUUUACGAAGAUGUUGAAUACACAGCAACUAGCAUUAUUCCUCAUCUUGCAGAUGCACUUCAAGAUGCCGAUAUUGACUCUAGAGUAGCUCUUUCAUCUUAUGAUUCAUCUUUCUCCAAAGAAUUAGAAAUGCUUAGGAGUAGGCAAUCCAGAGUCUUUGUCGUCCACAAUUCAAUCCAGUUGGCUAUUAGGUUGUUCACAGAGGCAUACAAGAAGGGGAUGACGACAGAUGGUUAUAUAUGGAUUACAACUGAUGCAAUUACUGGUAAACUAGACCAUGUGAAUUCUUCAGUCAUUACUUUAAUGCAGGGAGUCUUAGGUGUUAAGAACUACUUCAAACCAAGAGCUCAGACUAGUGAUUUUAUUAAGAGAUUUCAAAGAAGGUUUCAUUCAGAGUAUCCUAAAGAAGGGAGGAGAAAACCCCAACUAUCUUCAUUCAUAGCAUAUGAUGCAAUAUGGGCAAUUGCAAAGGCUAUGACCAAAAGUAAGGUGAGUGGAGAACUUAAGAAAAUGCAGAACGACUCUGUUAUUGAUCCAUUAUUUGUUGAAAUCUCGGAAGAGGUCUGGUCUUUAUUGGAUGGUAUCAAACAAAGUAAUUUUUCAGGAUUAAGUGGUGAAUUCUUCUUUAAAGACAAUAAAUCUUCCCAUGUAUAUGCAUUUCAAAUUGUCAAUGUAGUUGGGAAGAGUUACAGAGAGUUAGGCUUCUGGUUACCAGAUAAUGGGUUUUCGAAGAGUUUGAAGAGAAAAGAAGGUAAUGAAACAUCAAUGAAGAUCUUAGGACAAGUGUAUUGGCCUGGAGGACCAUGGUCUGUUCCUAAGGGAUGCGUAUCCCCUACAAGUGAGAAACUGUUGAAGGUUGCAGUGCCUGCUAAAACUGUUUUUCCUGAGUUUUUGACAGUGAAGAAAGAAAGUGAUUACAAGACAUCGGCCGAAGGGUUCUCGAUCAAUGUAUUCAAGAAAGUCUUAGAUCACUUUUCAUAUUCCUUACCGUAUGAAUUCAUUCCUUUCAAUUGCUCAUAUGACAGUUUGCUUGAACAUAACCAAAUGCGGAAUUAUGACAUUCUCGUUGGUGAUACAUCAAUCUCCUCUGGUCGAUAUAACUAUGUUGAGUUCUCACAGCCUUACACAGCCUCAGGUCUGGCUAUGGUGGUGCCAGUAAAAUCAGAUUAAACAGGCAAAGCAUGGAUAUUCUUGAAACCGUUUAGAUGUUCAAUGUGGGCAUUAACUGCAAUUGUGAGCAUAUACAACAGUAUAAUUGUUUGGAUAAUUGAAAGAAGUAGCAACAUGGACUUCCGAGGUUCCUUUUGGAAUCAAUCUGCCACAUUAUUCUGGUUAUCAUUCACUACAUUACUGUCCCCUGGGGAGAAGCUUCAGAGCAAUUUAUCAAGAUUGGCAAUGGUGGUAUGGCUCUUUGCUGCGUUGGUAUUAACAUCAAACUAUACAGCUACAUUGAGUUCAAUACUCACCACUCGCCGUCUUGAACCAAGCCUUGUCGAUAUAGAUUCAUUGAAGAGCAGCAAUGCUGUUGUUGGUUGCAACACUGGCUCAGUUGUUGGUAAAUACCUCGAGAACGUGUUAGGCUUUCAGCGAAGAAACAUCAAACUAUUCACCUCAGGGGAUGACUACUUUCAAGCACUCAAAAAUGGCGACAUUAAAGCAGCUUUUCUUCGAAUUCCCCAUGCAAACAUACUUGUCUCCAAGCACUGCUUUGAGGUCAUUUCGGCUGGGCCAAUCUUCCAAGUUGGAGGUCUAGGAUUUGUUUUCCCAAAGGGUUCUCCCUUGUUGUCUGUCUUCUCGGAAACAAUUCUUAAGUUUUUGAAGAAGGAGAGCUUGAGAAACUAGAAAAGGCUACGCUCGCAAUAUACACUUAAUCUUAUGUGGGAGUGGAUGCUAGUGAUGUAGAUAGGUUAACUCCUGAAAGUUUUUGGGGUCUUUUUCUUUUAACUGUUGGUAUGUCCACAAUUUCUUUAGUUUUAUAUGGUCUUUGUUUCCACAAGAAUGAAUUGAAAUGUCAAGAAAAGUUAAAAGAGGAGCAGAAGAACAGUUCAGUGGAAUUGGCUUCAGGUGUCGGUGAUGAUGAGUAAACUAAGAUUAUUCAUCCAAUUGAAUGGUGAUGUAAGAUGAUAGUAGAUUUGUGCA